CAUUGUAAAGCUAAUGCAGCGUUAACCUUUUAAGUUAAAAAUAGAGAAACCUUUUCUCUACAAUGAAAU
rnacentral:tRNA from 1 species